rnacentral:sRNA from 1 species
GGACCCCAGCAUGAUGGGACGGCUCGGGAAGGUGGAGAAGCAGCUGCUCUGUGCAGACCCCUCACACUCCACCGUGAGCCUCCCACCCCCGGCCUGGGUG